GGGAUGUCUUCAGCAUUCUUAUAAAUAUCCAAGAGGCAGUCUAUCAACGUAAAUCUUUGAAGAUUAUAUUGGGGACAGUCAAAGAAAAUGUGAUCAAGAGUUUGGAUGGAUAAAUUACAGAAUUGACAAGUUGGAGAAUCUAAAACAUCGAUCCUAAAUAAAUGAGCACCACUACGAGAAUGUCCCAGACGUAACCGACAAAUUGUGGUGUAAAAUUUUCUGUGGACAUUUAAGGAUAGAAGAAUGAAUGAUAAUUGUUCUAAAUCAACAUUAUAAAAUGUUCCUACAACAUCUAAAAAAACACCAGCCAAUAUCUUAUUGUCAAUCUGGGCACUAUGGAUGUCAAGACAUAAAUGCCGUAUACUCUCACAAGCAGAACGACCACAUCGAAAUCCAAAUUGAUUAUUAGAUUACUGUGUGGAGGAAUGUUGGAUGGAAUUGAAGAAGAUUCAGUUUCCGACACUACCAUGGAAAAGUGAUAGCUGCCCAAAGAGUCCUGAUGAACUUGCCAUUCACAGCACAGGAAUAAUGAAGAUGAUACUAUUGUUAGAUCUAGUCCAUUUGGUCUCCAAGAAUUAGUACCCACUGUAGUUGGUUGAUCAUUAUUUAAGAGCAUUAAGUCAUUAUCGUCCAUUACAUCCAUGAUGUCUCUACCUCUAGAAUUGGUUCUAUUACAACCCCAAAUGGUAUGGUAAGCAUUAAAAUCACCAGCAAUUAUUAGUGGUUUUGGAAUACUAU